rnacentral:lncRNA from 1 species
GAAAACUGGCAUUUUAUGUUUGGAAUCGAUAUCAAUAAGCAUUUUACCUGGCCUACUGAGCAUAGAACCAGGCACUCCAUUAUAAGAAUUAACUUACUUCUAAUUCUUUCAGAACAAUGCUUGGUUCAUAGUAAGCACUUGGAAAAUACUAAGUGACAUUGUUAUUAUUGCUACUACCCAAAGCAAAAAUGGAUAAAUGGGAUCACAUCAAGUUAAAAAGCUUCUGUACAGCAAAGGAUAUAAUCAACAAACUGCAGCUUUUGAGCCAUUUUAUUACUCUUAUUUAGGUCAGCUUGACUUAUUUCAAAUUCUUACAGUCUGUUCUCCCAUUAAGGUAGCAAUAAAAAAAUCUGAGAUAAAACAGAGACACAACAUAGCAAAACCUCUGGGAUACAGCUAAAGCAGUAUUAAGACGAAAGUUUAUAGCACUAAAUG